GGCUAUAGCCUUGGUGGGGGGCGUGGGCGAAGUUGGUCCGCGGGACUCGGAAUGGCACCAUACUUGGCGGGCGGCCUCCGUGUGCCAAAAAUGGGCCACGGGCACAGCCGCGCCCAAAAAUCAGCCCCGGAAGGUGGGGGUCCCAAGACCCCCCAGGGGAAAAAUGGCCAAAAAAGGGGUGGGCUAUAGCCUUGGUGGGGGGUGUUGGAAAAGUUUGUCCGCGGGACUUGGAAUGGCACCAGACUUGGCGGGCGGCCUCCGUGUGCCAAAAAUAGGCCACGGGCACAGCCGCGCCCAAAAAACAGCCCCCGAAGUUUGGGGUCCCCAGGCCCCCCCGCGGAAAAAUGGCCAAAAAACGGGUGGGCUAUAGCCUUGGUGGGGGGCGUGGGCGAAGUUCGUCCGCGGGACUCGGAAUGGCACCAGACUUGGCGGGCGGCCUCCGUGUGCCAAAAAUAGGCCACGGGCACAGCCGCGCCCAAAAAACCGCCCCCGAAGUUCGGGGUCCCAAGACCCCCCAGCGGAAAAAUGGCCAAAAAACGGGUGGGCUAUAGCCUUGGUGGGGGGCGUGGGCGAAGUUUGUCCGCGGGACUCGGAAUGGCACCAGACUUGGCGGGCGGCCUCCGUGUGCCAAAAAUAGGCCACGGGUACAGCCGCGCCCAAAAAACAGCCCCGAAGUUCGGGGUCCCAAGACCCCCCAGCGGAAAAAUGGCCAAAAAACGGGUGGGCUAUAGCCUUGGUGGGGGGCGUGGGCGAAGUUCGUCCGCGGGACUCGGAAUGGCACCAGACUUGGCGGGCGGCCUCCGUGUGCCAAAAAUAGGCCACGGGCACAGCCGCGCCCAAAAAACAGCCCCCGAAGUUCGGGGUCCCAAGACCCCCCAGCGGAAAAAUGGCCAAAAAACGGGUGGGCUGUAGCCUUGGUGGGGGGCGUGGGCGAAGUUCGUCCGCGGGACUCGGAAUGGCACCAGAAUUGGUGGGCGGCCUCCGUGUGCCAAAAAUAGGCCACGGGCACAGCCGCGCCCAAAAAACAGCCCCCGAAGUUCGGGGUCGCAAGACCCCCCAGCGGAAAAAUGGCCAACAAACGGUGGGCUAUAGCCUUGGUGGGGGGCGUGGGCGAAGUUCGUCCGCGGGACUCGGAAUGGCACCAGACUUGGCGGGCGGCCUCCGUGUGCCAAAAAUAGGCCACGGGCACAGCCGGGCCCAAAAAACAACCCCCGAAGUUCGGGGUCCCAAGACCCCCCAGCGGAAAAAUGGCCAAAAAACGGUGGGCUAUAGCCUUGGUGGGGUGCGUGGGCGAAGUUCGUCCGCGGGACUCGGAAUGGCACCAGACUUGGCGGGCGGCCUCCGUGUGCCAAAAAUAGGCCACGGGCACAGCCGCGCCCAAAAAACAGCCCCCGAAGUUCGGGGUCCCAAGACCCCCCAGCGGAAAAAUGGCCAAAAAACGGUGGGCUAUAGCCUUGGUGGGGGGCGUGGGCGAAGUUCGUCCGCGGGACUCGGAAUGGCACCAGACUUGGCGGGCGGCCUCCGUGUGCCAAAAAUAGGCCACGGGCACAGCCGCGCCCAAAAAACAGCCCCCGAAGUUCGGGGUCCCAAGACCCCCCAGCGGAAAAAUGGCCAAAAAACGGGUGGGCUAUAGCCUUGGUGGGGGGCGUCGGCGAAGUUCAUCCGCGGGACUCGGAAUGGCACCAGACUUGGCGGGCGGCCUCCGUGUGCCAAAAAUAGGCCACGGGCACAGCCGCGCCCAAAAAACAGCCCCGAAGUUCGGGGUCCCAAGACCCCCCAGCGGAAAAAUGGCCAAAAAACGGGUGGGCUAUAGUCUUGGUGGGGUGCGUUGGCGAAGUUCGUCCGCGGGACUCGGAAUGGCACCAGACUUGGCGGGCGGCCUCCGUGUGCCAAAAAUAGGCCACGGGCACAGCCGCGCCCAAAAAACAGCCCCGAAGUUCGGGGUCUCGGAAAAAUGGCCAAAAAACGGGUGGGCUAUAGCCUUGGUGGGGGGCGUGGGCGAAGUUCGUCCGCGGGACUCGGAAUGGCACCAGACUUGGCGGGCGGCCUCCGUGUGCCAAAAAUAGGCCACGGGCACAGCCGCGCCCAAAAAACAGCCCCCGAAGUUCGGGGUCCCAAGACCCCCCAGCGGAAAAAUGGCCAAAAAACGGAUGGGCUAUAGCCUUGGUGGGGGGCGUGGGCGAAGUUCGUCCGCGGGACUCGGAAUGGCACCAGACUUGGCGGGCGGCCUCUGUGUGCCAAAAAUAGGCCACGGGCACAGCCGCGCCCAAAUAAAAGCCCCCGAAGUUCGGGGUCCCAAGACCCCCCAGCGGAAAUAUGGCCAAAAAACGGGUGGGCUAUUACCCUUGUGGGGGGCCUGGGCCAAAUUCCUCCCUGGGAC
rnacentral:lncRNA from 1 species